CCUACGGGUGGCAGCAGUGGGGGAUAUUGCACAAUGGGGGAAACCCUGAUGCAGCGACGCCGCGUGGGUGAUGGAGUGCUUCGGGAUGUAAAGCCCUAUCAGCGGGGAAGAAAAUGACGUUACCUGACUAAGAAACCACGGCUAAAUCCGGGCCAGAAGCCGGGGUAAUCAGGAUGGGGCAAGGGUUUGCCGGAUUUCCUGGGUGUAAAGGGGGCGUAGGCGGCCUGGCAAGCUUGAUGUGAAAUACCGGGGCCCAACCCCGGGGCUGCAUUGGGAACUGCCAGGCUGGAGUGCCGGAGAGGCAGGCGGAAUUCCUAGUGUAGCGGUGAAAUGCGUAGAGAUUAGGAGGAACACCAGUGGCGAAGGCGGCCUGCUGGACGGUGACUGACGCUGAGGCUCGAAAGCGUGGGGAGCAAACAGGAUUAGAUACCCGAGUAGUC
rnacentral:rRNA from 1 species